CGCAGAGUGGGGUGGUUGCCUAGCAACAACACCUGUAGCACAUUAAGCAGCCAGUCAGCUUUGUCAACUUCUAGCAGGGGCUUUGUAGAGCGGAAGGUGGGGGUGGAAGAAGGAUCAGAGGGCACAGAAGUGGAAAGCUGGACAGUGGCUCUCAAGAUGGAAGAGGGUGCAGAAUUGAGAGUCCCGCCAACAAGGCUUUAUGCCUCUUUUCUUCAAGCAGAAGCAGAUCCAGGAGGACUGGGGGCUCAUUCCACUGACUCAUCUUCGAGGAAGGACCACAGAGAAGAAGCAAAGACUCUGAGAGGGGGUCUGGCAUUUCCAGUCCAUACCAGGAAGCUGAAGUUCUCCUGCGGCCCAAAGCACGGCGGCCCCUGGCGGAAAAGUCAAACCAGCAAAUAGAAAUGUCACUCAAUCAUUUCCCCGUGCUUUCCUCUCAUUGGCCUUCUCCACCGCAUAUAAUGAAAACUGCUUUUUGCCCAAAUAUUGUUUGAAUUUCAAAUACACAAUUUCCCCCAGGGGUGACCAGAUGAAAAGAGAACUCUGGUUUGCAACAUAAGACCUCUAUGUGGAAGUUGCCUUGAAUGAACACCGAAACGAAAUUUUUAUUGAGCUCCUUGAAAUGACAGAAGCACAUCAAGGCAACCAGGCUCCCUUCCCACUGUGGUGUGCUAAAAUUAUUUUAAAUGAACACCAAGGAAGCACCCCUCAAGGGGUGAGGAAAGAAGGAAAGGAUUUUAAACGCAGUGGGCAAAAUAAUAAAUCCGUUCAUGGCAUCUAACCCA
ensembl:lncRNA